rnacentral:ncRNA from 1 species
AAUAAAAGGCAAACUUAUCGCAAGGUAAGGACGCAAAGCUAUAGGGUCUAACUUAGACAGCCAGUUACCGA